rnacentral:rRNA from 1 species
UACAGAGGGUGCGAGCGUUGUCCGGAAUCACUGGGCGUAAAGGGCGCGUAGGCGGUCUCUUAAGCGUGUGGUGAAAGCCCGGGGCUCAACUCCGGGUCGGCCGUGCGAACUGGGGGACUGGAGCUUGUCAGAGGCAGGCGGAAUUCCGGGUGUAGCGGUGGAAUGCGUAGAGAUCCGGAAGAACACCGGUGGCGAAGGCGGCUCGCUGGGACGGUACUGACGCUAAGGCGCGAAAGCGUGGGGAGCGAACAGG